rnacentral:rRNA from 1 species
AUCUCAAAUCAGUAGGACU